CAGGCAGCUGCUCCCAACCCCAGAACCUUUGCUGUCUUGGGACGGAUCACCGCUGCAAGAGGGGAAGUUGCUACUGUGAUGAAUUCUGCCAUGUGGCACCAGACUGCCACCCAGACCACAGUGUCCUCUGCAACCCUGCUUCUCAGAUGACCAAGAUGGUGCUGCAGAUGGUGCUGAGGAUGGAGAACCCACCAAGCCCCGCUAGGAGCCACCUAGACUGGAUGCAGAGCAUGGUUCAGUGAGUUCUCCAAACCAGCCUCCCAGGAAUGCCAUUCAACAUGGCUGUGAGGAGAAUAAAGAAGAGAGCCUGACUCCUCUCCUGAGGCCCCUUCCCCACCCUGAGCCAGCAGGAUCCACGGAGCAGAGGUCAUCUGUCCCCAGCUUGGCCCACUGAGGCCAGCAUGGCUGGGCCCAGGAUGCUUGUCUCUCAGCUCCCAUCCUGUGUACUUCCACAUUGGUUUAACCAGAGGAAAACCGAAAUCUACAAUUGUCAUAAACACAUUUAAAUGUGCGUAGAAUCAGCCAUACAAAUUGUGAAACAUA
rnacentral:lncRNA from 10 species